AUGAUGGCAUAGGGAGAGACUGUCUCACUUGAAGACGGCGCCGAAGGAGUAAGCCCUAACAGGGGUGAAUCUCUCAGGCAAAAGGACCUUUGUCGGACG
rnacentral:ncRNA from 2 species